GACCUCAGAUCAGGUAGGAAUACCCGCUGAACUUAAGCAUAUCAAUAAGCGGAGGAAAAGAAACCAACAGGGAUUGCCUCAGUAACGGCGAGUGAAGCGGCAACAGCUCAAAUUUGAAAUCUGGCCCUAGGCCCGAGUUGUAAUUUGCAGAGGAUGUUUCUGGCGAGGUGCCUUCCGAGUUCCCUGGAACGGGACGCCAUAGAGGGUGAGAGCCCCGUACGGUUGGUCGCUAAGCCUCUGUGAAACUCCUUCGACGAGUCGAGUAGUUUGGGAAUGCUGCUCUAAAUGGGAGGUAUACGUCUUCUAAAGCUAAAUACCGGCCAGAGACCGAUAGCGCACAAGUAGAGUGAUCGAAAGAUGAAAAGCACUUUGAAAAGAGGGUUAAAUAGUACGUGAAAUUGUUGAAAGGGAAGCGCUUAUGACCAGACUUGGACCGGUUGAUCAUCCAUCGUUCUCGGUGGUGCACUCUGCCGGUUCAGGCCAGCAUCAGUUCGUCCCGGGGGAUAAAGGCUUUGGGAAUGUGGCUCUUCGGAGUGUUAUAGCCCACUGCGUAAUACCCUGGGAUGGACUGAGGUUCGCGCUCCGCAAGGAUGCUGGCGUAAUGGUCAUCAGUGACCCGUCUUGAAACACGGACCAAGGAGUCGUCUUCGUAUGCGAGUGUUCGGGUGUCAAACCCCUACGCGUAAUGAAAGUGAACGUAGGAGAGAGCUUCGGCGCAUCUCCGACCGAUCCUGAUGUUCUCGGAUGGAUUUGAGUAAGAGCAUACGGGGCCGGACCCGAAAGAAGGUGAACUAUGCUUGUAUAGGGUGAAGCCAGAGGAAACUCUGGUGGAGGCUCGCAGCGGUUCUGACGUGCAAAUCGAUCGUCAAAUAUGAGCAUGGGGGCGAAAGACUAAUCGAA
rnacentral:rRNA from 1 species